GACGAACGCUGGCGGCGUGCUUAACACAUGCAAGUCGAACGAUGAAGCCGGAGCUUGCUCUGGUGAAUUAGUGGCGAACGGGUGAGUAACACGUGAGUAACCUGCCCUUGACUCUGGGAUAACUGCUAGAAAUGGUAGCUAAUACCGGAUACGACCCUCGGCGGCAUCGCCAGGGGGUGGAAAGAAUUUCGGUCAAGGAUGGACUCGCGGCCUAUCAGCUAGUUGGUGAGGUAACGGCUCACCAAGGCGACGACGGGUAGCCGGCCUGAGAGGGUGACCGGCCACACUGGGACUGAGACACGGCCCAGACUCCUACGGGAGGCAGCAGUGGGGAAUAUUGCACAAUGGGCGCAAGCCUGAUGCAGCAACGCCGCGUGAGGGAUGACGGCCUUCGGGUUGUAAACUUCUUUUAGUAGGGAAGAAGCGAAAGUGACGGUACCUGCAGAAAAAGCACCGGCUAACUACGUGCCAGCCGCCGCCGCCG
rnacentral:rRNA from 1 species